GACAUUGCUUCAUUCAUUCGUUUGGGUGUGAACAAGUUUAGAUUGGAUGAACCAGAACAAAGAAUUUCAACCAAAAAGUAUAGACAUUAUUUAUCUAUAAUUUCCAGACAGCAGACCAACAUGAAUGGAGGGAAAGUCAAUUAAGUUACUAUUUUGGAUGAUUCACAGAAGUCACCCAAAUUGACAUGAAAAAGAAGUGACAUUCGCUGAAAAGUGAGUUGUUUGCAUCCCUGUAUAUAUAUAUAUAUAUUUAUAGAUUGUUUCAACUACUUGUAUGUGCAUGAUAGUUAGCUAAUUAUGCUUAACUUUGUUCCGAUUUGUCUUACUUGUUCUUAGCUGUAUGUUUAUUUCUGCACAAGUAUAUUGAAAGCAGAUUAAUUGUAUGUUUACAUACAUACUUGGCUGUGAGCCUUCAAUUCAAACCCUGUCUCCUACUAACACUUAACAUAUUGAUUUUGUUUCAUGAAGAAAAUCUUUUUCUAACUUUGAUCAAGUGCAGUAGUUUAAGUUUCUUAAAUGUUUUAUGCCACUCUGCAGAAGUCCAGAAUGCAGAAGUAGAACUACUCAUUCCCGUCUUUGGGCGUGAAUAAGAUUAGACUGGAUGAAUCAGAUGUAUAGAAAUAACUGAUCUGUAACAUCUCUCAGUUGAGACAGUGGACUUAAGCAGACCAACACGAACAGAGGGAAAGUCUGAUUAAUGUUUUUUACAAGGAUCUCAUGAAAAGAGGUAUGUUUUGCCAAAAUUCAUUUACAGACAAAGACAUAUUUAAUAUGUUGUCCUACAUGGUGAUGUUAUGUAUGUUUGGGGUUAAUUAGAUCCCAGGGAGGCUAACUCCCUGUCAGACAGCUUGUGAACAAACUGUUAGAAAACUUCAGUAGUCUUCAAAAGUCCAAAUAGACUUAACUCCAAAUGAUAAGGUUGAAUUAUUUUGUGGUUGACAAAAUAAAAUUAAUAAAAACUAAAACUAAAAUGUCUUCAAAUUUCUGUUAAGUGAACACCUAUACAUUCAAGUUCAAUCUUGACCGGAGACUUAGAUACCUUUUGUAUAAUAGAAGCGUACCAUGUCUUCUCUGUCACAUGACAUGAUACGUAUUACGUCAGUCAGCUUUUGCGUGUACAAAAAUUGAAAAUGAAGUCCAUCGGUCACCAUACUAGGCCAAACGUGCUUGUAAGUUAAUUUUCAGUUUUACAUUUUACUUACAAGACUUAUAAGUAUGUCCAAGUCUAAGCAGCUUUAAUAGUUACGGUUGGAAUUUUCAUGUGUGCCGCAUUGCAAAACUUGUCUGAAUCAGAGUCGUGUGUUGUAGCAACGUUAGCAUGUUAGCCUAGCCAUCGUUACAUUUAGAAAUGUCUGUCACAAUAGUUACAAUGCAUUUUACAAUUUAUUUUUGAUUAUGUUGCAGAUUCAAUAUUGUAGCAAUGUUGUGGUGAUUAACAUUCCCCCUGAACAAGGGGCUGCUUUUGGUUCUGGACCUCACAGUUAUGUAGCAACUAUCCAAUCCCCUAAUUGUGAGGAUGAGGAGACUGCCAUGGAGUGUGAUCCUCCAGAGACUGGAAGUCAUUUAAUGAACAGCAAUGUGGCACCACCUGGAUCAUCCACUGAUGCUGAUGAAGUGCCCAUGGAGGUAGACUAACAGCUGUAAGAAAACCAAAGUCUUGAAGAAGAGAGGCAAUGAAGAAAUACUGAAGACUUCAGCGUCUACUGCUACAUUAGCAGCUCUGUGACGCUGAACAUUUUCCCCAUCUCUACCAUCACAUAUGGGACUGCAGCAUAAACCAAUAGCUGUUAAGACAUUAUACAGAAAACCUCAAAUGUCAGCUUUACGAUGACACUAGAGGUAAAGUCAGAACAUCACCAAUGCAUUGUGACCACCAUGAAUGUCUGUGUAAAAUGUCAUGACAAUCUAUUGAAUGGUUGCUGAUUUGGACCAAAGAUGUGCUGAGAUGCUAGCGUGGCUAAAACAAACAAACAAAAAACCUAUGAACUUGUCAUAACUUUCUGUAAGAGAGGAUAUAUGAAUGUGACAUUUCUAAUAUUAUUUUAUUAUUUCAACAAUGUUCCUCAAGUAUAUCAGAAAGUAUUUUUAGCCCCUGGGCUGUAUUGUGGCGCUUAUGCUGAUUUGCAUGUAGCCUGAGAAAACAAUGCAGUUAGAUUUAAGAUCUGGCUAACAGAGAUGUGGCUAAGUGUAACAAGCAAAAGUGGGGACUGAAGUACUGUAGAUGGGUUUUCCUUUUAUGAGAAUUAUAAUAUGUGGGAGCCAGUGAGAGCUGUGCUCCAAUAAGAAGGGAUCUGAGCUCCCAUGAAAGCAGUGAAAUCAUACAUUUCUGUGGGGCACUAAUACAUUAUUAACAACCAUGAUUUUAGUCACAAAUAAUGCAUUUUCAGUGUCACAACAAAUGAUGGAUCCUCCCACAUACAUAGGAUAGGGUACUGUGCACCUGCAGCCAGCAGUGCCUAAAAUAACAACGCCUACUUUCAUAUGACACCAAAAAGGACCCCCCACCAAGCUCAGAUUGUAACUUGAACCCUGUUUCCAACAAAUGUCAUCUUCCACUCUGUCACACUGUCAAGUGAAAUUGUUUAUUUACUCACAUUUUCUGUGUUGUAAGACAUGAUCUGUUGAAAAAGUUAAAAGAAUCAUGUCAUGUCUGUUCUGUUCUCUGAAUGUUGUGGCAAUGAUUAAAGUGGAACAAAUUAAGAAGCCACCUCUGUGCCUUUAAUUUUAACCAUGAACUGCAUUUAGGUUUAGCCAACUAAAUUUACAAACCACAUCUCUGCAUCAGCUCCAUUAGUGAGCAGCUGUGAGGUGGCAGUAAGUAAUUAACACUCAUCGUAAAAAUAACAUUUGAUUACCCUUUUUUGUUUGAAACAUGGAAAGGGUGUUCUAAUGCAAUUGAUCAUACAUUCAUAUAUUCCCUUCACAGUAAUUAUCAACAACAUAAUCUCAUGGAUUGUGGUGGUCAUCAUUAUUAUUAUUAUUAUAGUUACUAUUAUUAUUGUUCAUUCUCCCCCAUUGUUGUGGCUAUUUCCGUCGUCAUCAUCUUCUUCAUCUUCAUCAUCAUCAUCAGUCACUUCUAUUAGUAUAGUUGUUGCUGUGCACCUUUGUCUCUGACCUUCUAUCUUUACCCCUCUACGCCCUCUCUCUCUCUCUCUCUCUAACCCCAACUGGUCGAGGCAGACGGCCACCCACCUAGAGCCGGGGUCUGUCUGAGGUUUCUGCCCCAAAAAGGACGUUUUUCCUUGCCGCCGUCUCCAAGUGCUUGGUCAUGGUGGUUAAGUUAAGUUAACUGUUGUUAACUUUUGUUAUAUAUUGGCGUUAUACGA